rnacentral:rRNA from 1 species
GUCUUUGGCCAUUCUACCCUGAACAAGCCUGAUUCUGUCUGAUCUCGGAAGCUAAGCAGGGUCGGGCCUGGUUAGUACUUGGGUGGGAGACCACCUAGAAAGACCAGGUGCUACAGGCA